UAGACACCCCGCAAAAUGCAGCGUCUUUGUGUCCAGAUGAGGCCCGGCCUUUACCCACCCAGGACUGCUGUCUACAUACCUGGUCUACUGCGGAGUGGCCAGCUGCCUGCCCCAAGUCUUGGUCCCGGGGAGUUGGCUGCUCGACCUCCAAGACACAAAAGAUCCUCACGUGUUCCCACCCACAUCCUUGGCAUGAACCUUCAAGUUUCCUGCAAGUCUCCUGGCCGGAACGUCACAGAAGCCACAGCAUCACAGGCGCCAGCGCCCCCAUCAUCUUCAGCUCCCCUCCACCCGGCUAGCCAAAGAGCGCACUGGAGGCGGAGGGGCAGCAGACACCAGCCCGCGCCCCGCCUCCCUGACAGAGCCUCGGUCAGCAUGGGGGUGACAGGUUUCAGUGCAUUUCCCUGCUGUGGCAAGAAUUCAGUGAACAUUGUGGAAAGAAAGAAUGACGACUACCACCACCACCACCACCCCUUAGAAGACAAUAAGGAUGAAGACAAUGAGAUGGGAACAGAGUUAUCAAGCAUGAAGCCCCCACCCAAAGUGGACCCAGACCCAGUACCACAUCUGGAGGAUAUGGUGACAGAGUUAACCUCUACACCCAUACCUGAGACUGAAAACCCGGAGCAGCAGAACUACAGGAUCGAAUCCAUCAAGCCCUAUGAGGAGGAGCUGACAACCACAAACACCUUCAAGCCCCGGGGCUUCAAUGUGAACUCAACCAACAAAGAGGAGGAGGAGGUGGUGUGCGGCCACUUUCGCUCCACCCCUGUGCAGACCUCCAAGCACCUUUUCUGGUCCAACAAGCUCAUCCAAGCAUCAGAGCACAGCCUACAGACAGCCUUAGAAAAACAUCACAAGAGCCCCGGGGAAAAGAAGUCUAUCUCCAUAGCCCAGGUUUACACAGAAUGUACUCAGCGGCCGUCCAGCACCCAGGUGUCUCGCACCCCCACGCCCACAGCCCUUGGCUUGGCAGAUCUGAUCAACUUUGCUUCAUCCCUGGCUGUAGCCUCCUCCAGUAACAUGGCCUUGCCUAACCUGGGGACUAUGAUCAAAGGAACAUCUGAGAAGGCCCAGAAUACCUCCUUAGACUUCUGCCAGCCCAUCCAGUCCAUCAAAUUUACCCAGGCUACCCAGAUCACCCAGAUAUCCUCAGAGAAGCAAGAUGAACCCCCUGAAGUCAUGGCUCACAAAUCCUGGACACAGGAGACCAGGAAUGUUGCUUGCUCUUACCUGGAUAUUAACGAGUCAGGGCUCAAGAAAGCCACCAUCCAAGGGGAAGUGAAGUUUGUCCAAGCACCAGCUACAUCCCCUGAGCUUCAGGAAGACAAAGAUGAGUGAGUGUUGUUGCCUUUAGCCCUUCCACAGGGGGCCUCACCAGUGGGGGACGGGAUCAGCUCUCACACAGACAGCUCGGUGCCGGGAACCAAGAAAGGGACCCCAAUAUUGCUGAAAAUCCAUUUUAAGCUGUCAUCCCCCCAAGCCCCAGAGAAAUGACUAGACAAAAUCAUUAAAGCCCCCAAUGCUGGC